rnacentral:rRNA from 1 species
CCUACGGGAGGCAGCAGUGGGGGAUAUUGCACAAUGGGGGAAACCCUGAUGCAGCGACGCCGCGUGGGUGAAGAAGCGCCUCGGCGCGUAAAGCCCUGUCAGCAGGGAAGAAAAUGACGGUACCUGAAGAAGGAGCCCAGGCUAACUACGUGCCAGCAGCCGCGGGAAUACGUAGGGGGCAAGCGUUAUCCGGAUUUACUGGGUGUAAAGGGGGCGCAGACGGCGAUGCAAGCCAGGAGUGAAAGCCCGGGGCGCAACCCCGGGACUGCGCGUGGAACUGGGGGGCCAGAGUGCAGGAGGGGCAGGCGGAAUUCCUGGUGUAGCGGUGAAAUGCGUAGAUAUCAGGAGGAACACCGGUGGCGAAGGCGGCCUGCUGGACUGCAACUGACGUUGAGGCCCGAAAGCGUGGGGAGCAAACAGGAUUAGAUACCCGUGUAGUC